AUUUGCAGAUGAUAUUAUGGUUUACACAGCUAUCUAAGGAAUCUUCAAAGCAACUGCUAGAAACCAUAGUGAAUUCAGUAGUUGUAAAAUACAUGAACUAUAUACAAAAAUGAAUUGUAUUUCUAUAUACUUGCAGCAAAGACUUGAAAAAUUAAACAAAAAUAAUCCAUCUAUAAUAACACACAUACAAAAUAAAACAAUAAGUUCAAGAAAAGACAUCCAAGAUUACUACAUUGAAAACUAUAAGGCACUGCUGAGAGAAAUUACAGGAGGCCUAAAUGAAUGGAGAGUAAUAACCAUGCUCAUGGCUGGAGGACACACUGUCUUUCUUGUGUUGUUUCUCCUCAAAUUGAUCUAUUGAUUCAACACAGUCUCAACCAAAAUUCCAAUGGCACUUUGUAAAAGAAAAGGCCAGCUGAUUCUAAAAGAUAUUUGGGAAAGCAAAGCACCUAAGAAAACCGAUACAUUGCUGGGUGGUGGGGGUUGUGUGGAGAAAGAGAAACACAUUGGAGGACUCAUUAUCUGACAUCAGUUUUUUUUCUAUUGACCUAUAUUAAUUAUAAUAGUGGGUUAUUGCUUUAAGAAUAGACAAGUAGAUCAAUGGAAGAGAAUGGAGAGUUCAGAAACAGACCUACACAUACAUGGUCAAGUGAUUUUUUUGACAGACGUUCAAGGCCAUUGUUGUCAUCAGAAUGACACCUGUUCAGCUACAUAAAAGUGUGAAAAAAUGACUCAAUCUUUAUCAUUCACAAACACACAAAAUUAAUUUAAGAUGUAUCAUAAACUUAACCACAAAAACUAAGAGUCUAAGGCUUCUGUAAGACAACACUGAACAAUAUCUUUGCAACCUUUGAAGUAGGCAAAGAUUUCUGAGGGAGGACAGAGCAAGUUAAAAACAAAAAGGAAACAAAGACUGAUAAAUUGGACUUCAUCAAAACUAAAACUGCUCAUCAAAAGAAACCAUUAAGAAAAUGAAAAUGCAAGCUACAGAUGUAAAUAAAAAUAUUUACAAUACAUAUAUGUGACAAAGGACUUCUAUAAAAAUAAAUACAUUACAUAUAUAAUUCAUUUAAAUGUGCAAAAGACACUUCUCUAAAGAAGAGAGGAAUGGUCAACAAGUACAUGAAAAAGUGAUCAAGAUCCUACAAAAAUGCAAAUGAAAACCAUGACAUACAAUUUUAUACGCAUUAGCAUACUUAAAAUUGGAAAGACUGACAGCACCAAAUGUUGACAAGGCUAUCCAGCAACUGAAACUCUCAAAUGCUGCUGGUGGGAAUGUAAAAUGGUACAACCAUCUUGGAAAACAAUUUGGCAGCUUCUUAUAAAGUUAAACAUACAGUUGCUUCAGAGCCCAGCCAUUCCAUUUCCAGGUAUUUACAAGAGAAAUAAAAACCGAAAAAGACUAAAAUAAGAAUAUUCAUGGCAGCUUUGUCUAUAAAAGCAAAAACAUGGAAAAAACCAAAUGUCUGUCAAAAGAGAAUGGAUAAACAGUUUGGUAGCCAUAAAAUGGACUACUACUUAAAAAUAAAAGGAAACAAACUAUUGAUAAAUAAAACAUCAUGCAUGAAUCUCAAGAACAUUAUGCAGAGGGAGAGAAGUCAGACCCUAAAAAGCAUAUACUUCAUGAUUCCAUUUGUAUUAAGUUUGAGAACAGGCAAAAUUAAUCUAUGGUGGUAACAGGCAGAAGGGUGGUUGUCUCUGCACGGGUGGCAUUGUCUAGAAAGGGAUAUGAUUGUAUUCUUAUAGUCUGUGCAUUUCCCUGUCUGUACAUUUCACCACAAUACAAUAAAAAUGCAAUCUUAGAAGUCUAAGUUUGCUGAGUUGUUCUUCAGUGUUUACUUUAUUAGGAAUUGGAGAGAGCGAAGAGGUUUAAGCUUUGGGACAGGAAACAGACCAAGGAAACAAACCCCAAGGGCCGAGUGGGUGUGGCAUGAGGAAGGAUUCUCUCCUGAUGACAGGCUGUUUCUAGCCCAGUUCACUCCCACCUGCCCCUAAGGACCCAUUUCAACUGUCCAUUCUAUUUGGGUUAGAGGUAAAUUGCCAGAAAUAGAGACAAAUUAAAAUGCCAGAUUGAUUUCCUUUAUUUUCUCCUUCCUAUUUUGGUGACUAGGGAGAGGUCUGGAAAUGUUGAUAACAAUUUUAAUAGAGACAAAAGCAGAGACCAGGAUAUACUACCAUUUUUCAUAUUUUUUUUCUCUAAAAUUCAUUAGAUUCUGAACCUUUCUGACUCUGGAGUUUUUCUAUCCGGACUCCGUACAUCCCAUGAACUUUCAUUACCUCAUGGUGUUCCUUCUGCUCAGAAUUCCUUAUUCUGCUUUCUCUUUUAAAAAUUCUUUUUUUCCCCCCAAAUGCAAUUCUAAAUAUCAUGUUUGUCAAACCCACUUCAUUUGAAGGAACAGAUUUGUGUUUUACUCACAACUUUGCUCCCAGCACCUAGAACAAUGACUGGCACUUAGAGGGUGAGCAGCUCCUUCCCUCAUUUUCAAUCAAUCAAUCAUCAAUCAGUCUGUAUUAUGCAUUCACUGUUGGUGGGCUGAGCAGUAUCACCGCACACCAUGCAUACCCACUGACUUCCUCAGGCAGCAUAAACGGCUCCUCCCUUUAUAUUCAUACAGCAGAGGCAUUAGUGGGUUGCUUGUGUGUGUACUCAUUCCCUCUUUGUAGAACCUAAGCUUUCCGAGAGGCGUCUGAGUCUUGAUUGUUUUUGUUGGAAAAGUGCAAUGUCUGGUAUACAGUAAACAUGCAACAAAAUCUUCAAUGAAGGAAGGAAGGAAGGAAGGAAAACAGUACUCACCAGAGGACAACAAAACUUUCAGAAAAACUGUGGUGUUUUGUCCUGGGUGUAAGAAGGGGUGUGUGUGUGUGUGUGUGUGUGUGUCUCGUGUUCCUCUUCUGCAUCCACUUUGACAUCUUGGGAGGAUGGGAUUUGCCAACACACAUUCACUGUGACCUGGGAGUACAGCAGGGAUUCCCUGUCCCAGUGGAGCUGGCUCCCUCCCAGCCCAGUUCAGGGAAUAUGGGAGUGGACUGAGAUGGAUUUACAAGAGGGUCUUCUUCACCUGAAGCACCAGGAGCUCUGGCAUGUCACUGGCCAUUCUCAUGAGGUGUGGGAGGAGCUCCAGGGCUCCUCUGGCCACAGUGACAGUGGCAGACUCUAUGGCAAACCCAUGGGGCUAGUUUGUUGUGAACUUUGCCCAGAAUUCAACACAACACCGACUUUAUGUGUAGCUGUGGAAAGGGCCUGGCAUCUCCUUGGUGGGGAGAAAGGCAGUGAUGACCAUGGGCCAGCUUCUGGGCACCUCAGGGAGCAGCUGGUGGGGACUGACCAGGUAAGGAGGUUAGCGUGCACCUGGCAGCAAACUAGGCCAGCAACUCACCAGUGCCAGUGAAGCCCAGGGAAAGACAAUUUAGCAGCUUUAGAAGCUUUGACUACCCUUUCAUGUCGUCUGUUAGAUUGAACGAUAUAAAUUGAGGAUAUUUGUCCAUUUUUGACUUACCAAAAUAUCAGUUUCAUAUACUUCAAUCUAAUCUUUAUUUUUUAGUACCUGCUGUGUUUAAAGUUUAAGGUGCAUACAUCCCAGAAAGAAAUAAAAAGAAAUACCGAGAAAUGAAAGAAAGAGAAAGAGAAAAGAAAUAAAAAGAAAGAAAUUGUAAAAUCAAAAGUACCAUUUUCCCCUUUUUUUGCAGGUGACUUAGGGACAGUUAUGAGCAUGAGACAGGAAACAUUUAUGGUGGGGAAGUUAAAACAUCAUUUCUGAGAAUUCUAAGUGUGGCUCUUUUUCUCCUCCUGGGCACCCCAGCAGGUCCCUCCUUUGUAUGGAAAUGGUUUCUACUUUUCUUCCAGCCUUAAUGUGACUGCAUGGCAGCCAUGGUGCAGAGCUGGGAGUGGUCAGAGUGAGAGGUUCAGCCGAGGAGAGACCUGUUAGUCACCGUGUGCUGGCUGGAGGUUGGAGUGUGCCGGUGUCCACUUGACUGGCUUCCAAGGGAAAGGUAGACAGCUGCAUGACAGACAGGCCUGGUCACAGCAGGUUACGAUGCACUGUGUCAUCCGGCACACCAGGCAAUUUCCUUUUUGAGUCACUUUUCAGCUAAGAAUGAAUCAUGCUCCACCCUCCUUUUCAGCCCUUUAUGCUUGCCGGCUCUGCAGCCAAGAUGGGAGGGAGGCCAUUUCCUCUCUGCUGAGAGCAGGUCAGCAAGGAAGCUCCUGAGAGUGCAGCCCUUUCCCUGCUGGGCGGAAUCUGCAGGAGAAUGCCUGGUCCCCUUGUAAGGUGGCCCCUCCAGGAGCGGGGUGGCCAGCCCCAGAGCCUUCUACCACCUGGAGGCAAACCCUGAACCUGGAAAGUGAGAGGCGGGGCCAGGCCAUUUGCUAGUAGAGAAAUGUAGGAAAGUUCCUUUUCUGUGUGUGUUUUCUCUUGACUUUAAAAAAUCAUAAGCUUGCCCAUGGAGCUUUUGUGAGAGGAGAGAUUUGACCAGCUCUGUGCCUGCCCCCUGGGUCCUUAGCUGGUCGCUUUGUGCUUUGUCACUAGAAAAGGAAGAUGUAUCUAAAUCACUAUCACUAGAUUUGGCCAAUGGAAUUUUUGAAAACGUUUUCCAUUUUCUCAUGGUUUUGAAAAGUCUAUACUUACCAAGAAUUUGGCUUUAAGUUGUUGUUUUGUUGUUGGCAACUUUCUUUUGUUCUCUGUUUCGUUUAUCAACCUAUAGAAACAGGUCAAAAAUUAAAUGACUCCUUAUACAAGGCAAUUAAAGACAUGAAUGUGGGUGACGGACUCUGAGCAGAGAGCCUUUGCGAUUCUCUGGCAGGAAGGAAGAAGCCGCGGGUGUGGCGGAGGUGAGGUGGCCGGGCCCCUGCUCCCUCGCGCUGGGCUGCGUGCUCUGGAUGGGGUGGUGUCAGGGCUCUGCGCCUCCGCCCGGCGGCCUUCCAGACCUGACGCCUUAUUCGGAGCAGCGAAAUGGAAUCCUGAAGCCUGAGAAAAAGACAGGACUCAUCAGGGGAUCUAAAAGCUGGUGCCUUGCUUUCAGGCCAGGUCCAGGGUUGGGGGAUUCCCGGGGAGGCGCCAACUCUGAGAAGCAGGCUUGGUGCGCGCCUUUGCCUUCGCCUUCUCCUCCAGGCCUCUUCCAUUCCCUCCUGGAGGGCUCCCUUCCAGCGGCGGAGGCAUGCCUUUUGGAUUUUCAGGGUUUUUUCAAGAGUCUU
rnacentral:lncRNA from 1 species